rnacentral:lncRNA from 1 species
GACAAAGAAGGACAGCUGCAGCAGCCAACAUACAAGUCUGCCAAUAUUUUGUACAAAUAGAAGUAGAUGGUUUGUUGCAGCACAGAAAGUUUGUUGUGCACAUGUGGACUGAUGCCAAUGGAACCAAUGGAAUGUCUCUGGGUACACAUUCACUGGGACUGAGAGCUCCCCUUGGAGGGCAUGGACUAAGUCACUACAUUUCAGUCUUUGAGUUAUUCCACUUCUUGGGACCAAGAGUUUUGGUACAUCGAUUGUCCAAGAUGAAUGUCGCAUUGAGGUGUGAAAGGAUGAAGUUGAAAGGCCUACUUAACACAGACAUGGCACUGGUGACAGAAUUAAGUGGUAAUGAUAUAUAACAAAAUGCUAUUACAUGAAAUAGGAUCUUUUUCACACAGUUUUUCGAUUUUGUCUGAUAGGAGUAGAAGAACAAAAUGAAAAACUAUUCAUCAAUCAGAGGUCUGGCUAGGUCAGACACUUUGGUCAAGCAAUGUGAGUAAUUCUACCUACCUGCACUAUAAUUUAUUGCAAAAUUAAUGCCAUAACAUGCAAAGCCAUUGUUACACAAAAUUCUUAACCCCAGGAAAAAAAAAAAAAAAAAAGCAAAUUAGCAAAUUUUCUUUCUUUUUCUAGCUCUCUCUUUUUUUUUUUUUUUUUUUUUCUUUUUCUCUAACCUGACAAGAUUAAACCGUUUUAGUAAGUGGGGGUUUAAGGAUGAUUCACUUCUAAUGAUUAAAAAAGGGACCUUGAGGAGAGUUUGAUAGACUUUCUCAGUCAUUGACUAAACCAAGAUAUAUUAAAAAGGGGAACAAAAGAGAGUGCAAGGUAUUCAUUUUUGUUAAAGUUUGCCUGCUUCAUUACAACAGAAUGAAAUCAAGUCUUACUGGGAAGAACAAGCUUUGAUAUACUCUACUUUCUGUGAAAAUUUUCAGG